UACAGAGGUCUCAAGCGUUGUUCGGAUUCAUUGGGCGUAAAGGGUGUGUAGGUGGCGCGCUAAGUCGGGUGUGAAAUUUCGGAGCUUAACUCCGAAACUGCAUUCGAUACUGGCGUGCUUGAGGACUGGAGAGGAGACUGGAAUUCAUGGUGUAGCAGUGAAAUGCGUAGAGAUCAUGAGGAAGACCGGUGGCGAAGGCGAGUCCCUGGACAACUACUGACACUGAGGCACGAAAGCUAGGGGAGCAAACAGG
rnacentral:rRNA from 1 species